GGUCAAGGUCAUUGGCUUUUCACUCUGAUUUGCACCCAACGUGGCACAUUUUGAGGUAGGUUAUGGAAUUCUCCAACAAGGACAAUUUUGCCAAAAGUCAAUGAUCGAGGCAAAGGUCAUGCCCGCAUGUUUGUUGGUCUACCCCUCCCAGGUCCUUUUGCUGGUUUCUAUCAAACUGGGUCUGCCAAUGAAAGUUGACCCCAAAAUUGCCCUGAAAGAUUAAAUUUUGGUCAAAGGUCAAG